rnacentral:rRNA from 1 species
CAGUGAGUGAUCUGAUCGUGAGAUCCCCCGUACUGUCAACGCGACACAGGUCAGGCUUUUUCUUGAGGUAGCAAAGCAGAAUACAAUACAAAGGGCGGUAUUCUGAUCCAGGCCAUGGGUGGAUAAGGAGACGUGUCCUAUGUACAAUAAUCCUCUUUUAUACAUGAAGUAAGAGUCUGGUGUGUGUGUUAUUGACGGUGUGGUGGAUAAUAAUGAUCGGAACCCCUCCGUAUCAGCAGCUGCGGUAAUAGUGAGGAUCCGAGAGUUAUCCUGAAAUAUAGGGUUUUAAGGGUCCGUAGGCGGGAAAAUAAGUCAGUGGUGAAAGUUUGUAGCUCAACCAUAAAAUAUCCAUGGAUACGUGUUAUUCUUGAGUUAUUGAGAAGUGGUUAGAAUGUGUAGAGUAGCGGUUAAAUGCAUAGAUAUUACACAGAAUAGCCAAUUGGGAAGGCAGAUCACUAACAAUACACAGACGCUGAUGGACGAAAGCGUAGGUAGCGAACAGGAUUAGAUACCCUGGUAGUCAAGGGCG